rnacentral:rRNA from 1 species
AUUGAACGCUGGCGGAAUGCUUUACACAUGCAAGUCGAACGGCAGCACGGACUUCGGUCUGGUGGCGAGUGGCGAACGGGUGAGUAAUACAUCGGAACGUGCCCAGUCGUGGGGGAUAACGUAGCGAAAGCUACGCUAAUACCGCAUACGAUCUAAGGAUGAAAGCGGGGGAUCGCAAGACCUCGCGCGAUUGGAGCGGCCGAUGGCAGAUUAGGUAGUUGGUGGGGUAAAGGCUCACCAAGCCGACGAUCUGUAGCUGGUCUGAGAGGACGACCAGCCACACUGGGACUGAGACACGGCCCAGACUCCUACGGGAGGCAGCAGUGGGGAAUUUUGGACAAUGGGCACAAGCCUGAUCCAGCCAUUCCGCGUGCAGGAUGAGGCCCUCGGGUUGUAAACUGCUUUUGUACGGAACGAAAAGGCUCUGGUUAAUACCCGGGGCUCAUGACGGUACCGUAAGAAUAAGCACCGGCUAACUACGUGCCAGCCGCCGCAGUAA